GAUCCUGGCUCAGGAUGAACGCUGGCGGCGUGCUUAACACAUGCAAGUCGAACGGGAAUUACUUUAUUGAAACUUCGGUCGAUUUAAUUUAAUUCUAGUGGCGGACGGGUGAGUAACGCGUGGGUAACCUGCCUUAUACAGGGGGAUAACAGUCAGAAAUGACUGCUAAUACCGCAUAAGCGCACAGGACCGCAUGGUCUGGUGUGAAAAACUCCGGUGGUAUAAGAUGGACCCGCGUUGGAUUAGCUAGUUGGG
rnacentral:rRNA from 1 species